GAUGUUUGGAGAAAGAUGGUACAAGUUGCUGUAAAUCGAAGUUUUAAUCAAAUUACUGUCGAUGGAGACACUAGUACAAAUGAUGCUGUCAUUGCUCUUGCCAGUGGACUUUCAGAAUCACAUGAGAUUUCUUCUUUGAACUCCUCGGAGGCAGAACACCUACAAAACUGCCUUGAUGCUGUAAUGCAGGGUCUAGCAAAAUCAAUAGCUUGGGAUGGCGAAGGAGCAACAUGUUUGAUUGAGGUGAGGGUUGAUGGUGCUGAUAACGAAGCUGAAGCAGCAAAGAUUGCACGUUCAG
rnacentral:misc_RNA from 1 species